UAUUAAAUGGGAAAAGCCUUAGGAAAAUAAUUGGGGAAAUUUUCGUUAUAACUUCGUGCUUCUUUCUUUUCUUCUCUGAGUGUUGCCACAGGCUCUAAUGACCCCAGCUGCAACAUGAAUUCAAUGAUGAAGUUUAUUCACAGAACAUCAAUUUAACUCUCCGGCUCAACCUUAUCGGCAUAACCCUCGUCAUCCUCCUCAGCCACGGCAUCGUGGUAUUGCUAGUACUCCGUCACCACAUCAUUCUAUUACUCGCCGAAUCUCCGGCGAUCUUCUCCACCCUCGCCGCUGUCCGCUUCGCGUGCCGCGGCUUGGAAGAUGGUGGAUAGGUGAAGCGGUAGAGCUGUUGAGCGGGACAUCUGUUCGAUGAAAUGCUCGAUAGAGACGAGAGCAUGCACGGGCAUGCUCUGAUCAAACGUCCUCAGGCUAACGGGGCACGCUGUUCUGUGCUCUGCAAAGACUUGAGCGUACCCUUCAUCCUCGUCGGUCAUCAUAUCCCGAUGCUGCUGCUACUCUAACAUCAAAUCAUUCGUAUUGCUCUCGGCCAAUGUGAAAUCAUAUUGUGCUGAUUUGCUAGUGACAUUGUAUCACUAUCAUUGCCGUUAACUGGUAUGUUGCUUGGUAAACCUGGAAUUGCUCCAUCUUUUUGUAAAACAUCAAUGUCAUGCUUCAAUUUUACAAA